GGAAAACGAUUUAUUAGGGGAAAACUAAAUUUAGCAGAUUGCAAAUUUUUGACGUUUCAAAGAGUACCAAGAAUCUCUCCGCAUUUGCGGUCGGUUUCAUCCGCGGCUCGGAUGAGGGCCGGCCACCACCAGUUAGUGUAGAUUCCAUCCCUGGCGUGGCUGGAUCUCGAGCAGCGACAGCCUCGGCUUGUCCAAGGGUUGUACCGCUCACCCUCAUCAGAACUUGUAGACACCACUUUUGUGGGUUAUUUGUUGUUGCUCGAGCAGUAUCGUUUGUGGGUUAUCGUCGCCUGUAAACGCUCGCAGUCUUGGCUUGGUUGAAACAAUUAGUGGCUCUGUCGUUUCCUGCCGCUCUUGUCUUGAGGCGUGCUUGUGUUCUUGGAUGUGAAGCAAGUGGUGGGGUUUUUGAGGCGAUACGCUGGAAGUUGGAGCUCUUGUGGCGCACGAGGUUUCUUGAAUGAGCGCUGGAAGUGUCAGUCGUUAAAUUCUGCUCUUCAUAGAUCGACGACUGUGAUGCUACCUGCGAGCCAACAACAGCGGUGGAGGUGGCGAUAACAUCAUACGUUGUUUUGUUGUCGAAGCACGGGUAAUACUACACCCUCAUCGCCAUGCAAGGUGAGUCUUUGAAGGUAGAUCAUUUCUUAUCACUUCCUUCACAUUUGUGGUUUUUUACAUGAUGGUGAGGAAUUGCUUGACAAACUUUAAAAUUCUGAGAUUAUACUGUACGCAUCGAUGUCCCUGAACAGAGUCUCGAGUAGGUUGUCAACCAGUUUGGUUCUAGGUAGGUGCAUUGACAUGGAGGAUUUCAAUUACGACUUCAUACUACACCGAGUUCAUAUACAAUACGAGACAGAAUCUAUAUACAGUUUACCUUGUAUGUCGUAGAACAUUUAGCAUAUACCAUAUAAGUCGUAGAAUAUUUUCUCUAUAUUUGUUUUAUAUUUUUUUCUUCAUUCACUGAAAUCUGAUGCAACUUUGCAUUACAAUGUUUUGAUAACUACAUGCACUAUAAAAACAACUCUUUCAAGCUUAUAAGUGAUAAUUGGAGGUUGGAGUGGUGAUGGUUUGGAUUGGGAGAUUAUGUUGUGAAUUGAUAGUGAAUUAAUUGUAUUUUGCUAUUAAUAUUUGGUAUUGUAACUCAAUCAAUAUAUGUAUUUUUGAUUCUCAAUUGAUUGUAUUAGUAUUGAAGAUGAUGUUUGAAAUAAUUAUAAUUAUUUUUUUAGAUAAUAAAAUUCUUAAUUAGUAUGAUAGUUUGUAAUUUAAGUUAUUCAGAUUUUUAUUAGCAUGAUGUUGCAUCUUUCUAUUUAAUUGUAUGUAAGUUAUUAAAUUUAAUAAUGUUAUUUUGAAAAAAAAAAAAAAAAAAAAAAAACGUUUUUGUUAGAGUUAUGUCUUAUUAUUAUAACAUUUUUGUUAUAACAUGUUUUGCAUCUUUCUAUUUAAUUGUAUGUAAGUUAUUAAAUUUAAUAAUGUUAUAUUGAAAAAAAAAAAAAAAAAAAAAAAAAAACGUUUUUGUUAGAGUUAUGUCUUAUUAUUAUAACAUUUUUGUUAUAACAUGUUUUGCAUCUUUCUAUUUAAUUGUAUGUAAGUUAUUAAAUUUAAUAAUGUUAUAUUGAAAAAAAAAAAAAAAAAAAAAAAACGUUUUUGUUAGAGUUAUGUCUUAUUAUUAUAACAUUUUUGUUAUAACAUGUUUUAGAGUUAGAUUUAAGUCUUAUUAUUGAAUAUUAAUAAUUAUAUUAUUGAUAUUGAAGCUUUGAUUUGUUCAAAAUGGAGUGACAAAUAUGACAUGAAGAUGUUGGCAUGGCAUUAAUGUCAAGCAUGAUUUUGAAUUGAGAUUCUUUUAGUUUUUAAAAUUGGGAACUUUUGAAAUAUAUUAUAUUUGGUUGUCAAAGUUAUAUUUAUAUAGUGUAAUAUGUUAUUGGUUGAAGUAUUUUGCCUAGUUAUGUUUUCUUCUUUUUGUGUCUUUUCAUUUAAAUUAUGUUUAUGUUGACUAUUAUUUUUUGUUCUUUAUGUAAUUUUAAUGCUUUUAUUAUUAAACAAAGCAUUCUUAUAGUACACAUAAUAUCUUUAUUGUUCAAAUAUUAUAUGGCAUUUGAUUGUUUGAAUUGAUAUUUAAGAUUUAAUGGUAAAUAAGCAAGUGCAUGUGUGGAAUGGAGAAUUUGUGAAGUUGUGUGUUCAAGGUUAUGGACUUUUGAUUGUAGUAUAUUGAUGUGCAUUACAUUUUUUCGACUAAUGUGAAUAAAUUGGAUUAGUAUGUCUAAGAGUAAUUAUUCUAGGACCUAUUUGAUUUUUUGAGCUUUGUUGUAUGUAAGUAGAACUACUAAGUUAUAAAGGAUUUGUGUAAUAUUUAAGUAAAAAAUUAUCUAAUUUAAUUGGAGGUUGCAAAAAUAAGAAGGAAUGAUGGUAACAAAAGUCUAUAUUAAACCAUCUUCAUUAUACUAUAGGAUCAAGUUUUUAGAUCAUUAUAUUGGUAUAACAUUAUUUUUUAUUUAGUUAUAUUUCAAAGACUUAAAGAUAUUAUUUAAGACUACAAUUUACUUUAGAAUAAGAAUAUUUUAAUAUCUCUAAAUAUAUAUAGCAAUUGAGCUUUUUAUUUUAAUAAAUUGAUGGUGGUUUAAUCUUAAUAUCUAGGUAUUCAAUUUUGUGAAUAAUAGAUGUCUACUUCUGCCAGGUUGAAGAAUUCCAAAUAAUUCAAACGAAUAUAUAUUUUUUGAAAGUUCAAAUUGUGUCUUUUUGGAGGCAUUGGAAUUGCUCAUAGAAUUCAUAUUGGAAUAAUUCUUCAAAGCUUUUGAGGUAUUUUUUCUACUAUAUGCCUUAUGAUAAAAUAAUUGAACUUUGUUGUUAUGAAUAAUUGGACACAAUAUGUUGUAUUGUCUAUUGAGAGUUUGUGAGCUUGUCAUAUUUAUAAGUCACCUUAGCUUAUUGGCUUGUAUUGUAUUAUAUUGUAUUGUAUUGAUUUUCUCUUGAAGAAGGCAUAGAUUAUUGGUGUGCCAAACUAAUUUGUCAUUAGGAUGUAAGUAUGUUAAUAAUAUAUUAUAAAUUCAUAUUUGAUAGUUUUUGUCAAGAUUUUUUUUAGAAAUUAAUAUGGUACAAGAUUAAAGUUAGUUGGUGUUUUAAACAAGUUUUGUGGUGUCAUAGGAACUAUUGUGCAUUUCUACCAAUUCCAAUAUUUACAUUAUUUUAAUCCUUAAUUGAAGUAAUAAAUGUUGUUACAAUAUAAUAAAAUAUACUUUUUACAAUUAUCAAUGGAGAUUAUAACAAAAGCUUCAACAUUAUUGAGAGAAGGGGUGUUGAAUGAAAGGCAAUGUAAGAAUUUGUUGAAUAACUUUUUAAGGGGUCUUGAAACAAUUCAAACUAUUAUUGGUGGUUCUUGUUUAAAUGUAUUUGAUGGAGCAAAAAAAGAUUUGUUUAAGCUUGCAUGCAAAGCAAGAGACUUGAUUGAGGAGUGUUGCAAGGAGGAUUGGUUAAAAAGUGCAACAAUACAAAUCAAUAAUAAAGAAGCUUUUAAAGAACUUCUCAUGGACUUAGGUUAUUGCUUUGACAACAUAUGUAGCAUCUUUCAUUAUUAUUAUCUUAAUCAAAGGAAAAAGACCAUUGAGGUGAAAAGAAGCAUCUCAUUUUUUCGAACAUAUAUUGAUGAAAUUGAUUAAGAUACAAUAACAUUGAAUGAGAGGCUUGAUGGUAUCAUACAACAACCAUCACUUGUAAUUUAAGAUGGUAAACUUGCACAUUAUCUUAUAGGUCAAAUAAGUGGUAUCUGAAAGGUUGAAGGAGGAGAAUUAAACAUAAUUAUUUUUCCUAAUGAAUAUUCUUAUCUUGAAUAUGAAAGACCAAAUUUUCCAUUGGGUGGAAGAGAUCGUGUGUUGGUGUAUCCAACAAAAUGGUUGGACAUAGAAAGUACAACAAAGGUUAUUGCUAUUUUUAAUAAUAAAGCUAUCUUGAAAGAAGCUGGUAUUUUGGGUGGAUUAACUCAUCUAAAUAUCAUCAAGCUUUUCUAUUUUGGUUUUUCUAAAGAAAGAAAAGGAUUUAAAUUUGUCAUGGAAUGAGGAAAGAUGACUUUAUUCAAAAUAUUGGAAGAAAGAGGCUCACUUUCAAAAGCAAUUGCAAUAGAUAUUAUGCUACAAAUUGUAAGUAGAAUAUGCUAUAUGCAUGACAUGAGGGUAGUACAUUGUGAUCUAAAGUCUGAUAAUAUUAUUAUAAAUCUAAUGUACAUUCCAAAGGCAAAUGAUAUAGAAUUUAUAUAUGUGAAGUUACUUGAUUUUUGUAUUUCAAAUAUUGAAGUGAUAAAUCUACAAAUACUUACAUGAAAAAUCACUAUAAGAAUCUUAGGAUAUAUAGCACUUGAGGCCAUAAUGAAUGAAGGAAAAUCCUUGCAAGAAGUCGAUGCUUUAAAAACUGAUGUGUUUAAUUUUGGCAUGUUGUGUAGUGAGAUUAUUUUGGAGACAAAACCUUUAUUGAUAUAAUCAGUUAUAAAGCUUAUCAAGAAAUUAUUGAAAGAGAUAAAAGAUCCAAUUUGCCAAAAUCUUGUCUAAAAGAAUUGAAAUUAUUGAUAGAAAAUUGUUCAUUGUUGGAUCCAUUAAAAAGACGUACAUUCCUUGAGAUUUAUACAAGAUUGAUAAUAUUAAAAAAAAUAUUGCUCCAAGAUCCUUGGGAAAGUAGAGAUCUUAAAGAUAAAGAGUAUACACCAUGGACUAACAUUGUUUUAGAUUCAAAAUAUUGAUAGAUAAGUCUUAAAGAUAAUUUGUGCAAUAUUAUACAACAUAUAUAAGAUUGAUAAUAUUAAAAAAAAACAUUGCUUUAAGAUCCUUGGAGAAGUAGAGAUCUUAAAGAUAAAGUGUAUACACCAUGGAUUAAUAUUUUUUUAGAUUCAAAAUAUUGAUAGAUAAGUCUUAAAGAUAAUUUGUGCAAUAUUAUACAACAACAUCUCUUCUUACUUUGGCAAUAUUUUUCCAUCUUUAUUCAAAACUUUUGGUUUGUAUUUCUAAUUCAAAAAAUUAAUCCCACCACAAAAUUGAUAGUUGAUCUAAAACAAAUUGGUUCAUCAAAUCAAAUUAUUAGUAAGGUAUGUAUUUUAUUAUUAUUAUUAUUAUUAUUAUUAUUAUUUAGUUUUUUUAAUAAUUUAAAUAUAAUUGUAAUAGAUGCCAUAAUAUAGUAUAAUAUGUGACUUAGAUCUUAAUUGAUAUAAAGACAUUAUUUGUCAAGGACAUGAACUAAAAGAUAAUGCAUAAACUAAUGAAAUCAAUCUCAAAGAAGAAGUGACAAAAUAAAAACAAGGAAGUACAUAUAUUUAAAGAAAUUGAAAAGGCUUAUUGCCAAAAGACAAGAAAACUUGAGACGCUUGAAACUAGACUAGAAGCAAGAAAAGAAUUGAGAAGAGUGAAGAGGGCUUCACUCUUGUUUCUAUAUAUACUAUCUAAGUAAGGACUACAUGGCGAUGUUCUAUAAGACCUCUAAUAUGUGUUGACUUUGUAGAACAUAUACCUUGAUUUACAAGGCAAGUUUAUCUACGUGUGGUCCAUAUAGUUAGCUUGGUCUUCAAGCUAACAACAUUUAUGGCACAUGGCCAACUUAUUGACCACGUUUUUAACUCAAAAAGUCAAUUAAAGACACCUAUAAAGUUAAAGUAGCAUCUAUAUAGCUUCUAAGAAGCUUCUAUAGAAAAUAUUAUAGAAUUAACUUAUUUUUACCUACUUUUACUUACUUCUAUCUAUUUAUACAUGUAAUUAUUAGUUUACAUGCAUAUGUCCAUGACAUUAUUAUUCAUAUAAAUUAUUUUGGCACUCAAAUUUAAAAGCUUGUAAAUUAUUGCAGGUCAAUAAAGAAGCUACCAAAAAUUUAAAAUUAAUUGAUGUAGAUAAGAAAUUAUCUAAUUUGGAAAGCAAAUUAUAAAGAGUUGGUAGUUUGGAAAUUAUUGGGCUAGGUGGAAUUGACAAGUCAACAUUAGCUAAGGCUUUAAGUAGCCAUAUCUCCUUCAAGUUUGAAACAACAUGUUUUAUAGAUGAAUUGAAUAAUGGAAAAUAUAAGCUUAGAUUAAGAAAUAAGUUGGAAGUUUUGCACAAGCAACCUCAAGUAUAUUCUUUGCAAGUGAAAUCCGUUUUGGAGUAUUAUCAAACACAAAGGUCUUAGUUAAAUGUGUGUACUUCACCUUGAUAAUUGUAAAUUUCUUGAAUAUUUUUCAAAUGAUUCAUUCAAAUCAUUACCCUUGACAAAUUUAUAAUUGAAAAAUUAUAUGAGAUUGAAAGAAUUGACAAUCAACUUACAUAGUAUAACAUCCUUGAUUGUCCUUCUCCUUGAAAAUUAUCCUACAUUAGAAGUACUUCCUACAAGAUGAACAAAUAUUAAUAUUUUAAAAGAAUUAGUAAUCGGCCAUUAUACUAGUUUGAGAAAAAUAUUAAAUGGAAUUCAAAUCUUGACAUGUUUAAAGAUACUAAAGAUGUGGAAAUGUAAAGCUUUGAAAGAGUUUCUAAGUGGAUUGCUAAAUUUGAUUGCAUUAGAAAAAUUAGACUUUUCAAAGUAUAGAAAGUUAAAAAACUUGCCAGAAGGGGUUGGAAGCUUGACAUGUUUGAAGAAACUAUACAUAUAGUAAUGUGGGGCUUUGGAAGAGUUUCCAAGUGGAUUAUCAAAUUUAGUUGCAUUAGAAGAAUUAAGUUUUUCAAAAUAUAAAAAAUUGAAGAAGUUGCCAAAAGGGUUUGGAAGCUUAAUAUGUUUGAAGAAACUAUACAUGUUGGAAUGUGGAGCUUUGAAGAAGUUUCGACUUGGAUUGCCAAAUUAGAUUGCAUUGAAGGAAUUGGAUUUCUCAAAGUAUAGAAAAUUGAAGAAGUUGUCAAAAGGAUUUAGAAGCAUGAUACAUUUAAAGAUAUUAAAGAUGUGGGAAUAUGAUACUUUGGAAGAAUUUCUAAGUGGAUUGCCAAAUUUUGUUGCAUUAGAAGAAUUGAAUUUUUCAAAGUAUAGAAAAUUGAAAAAGUUGCCAGAAGGAUUUGGAAGCUUGAUAUGUUUGAAGAAACUAUUUAUGUGAGACUUUGGAGGAGUUUUCAACUAGAUUGCCAAAUUUCGUUGCAUUAGAAGAAUUCAAUUUCUUCAGAUGUAAAAAAUUAAAGAAGUUGUGAUAAGGAUUAAGAAGUUUGACACAUUUAAAGAUACUAAGGAUGUGGGCAUGUGAGGCUUUGGAGGAAUUUCUAAGUAGAUUGCCAAAUUUGGUUGCAUAAGAAGAAUUAAAUUUUUCAAGAUCUAAAAAAUUGAAGAAUUUUUCAAAAGGAUUUGAAAGCUUGACAUGUUUAAAGAAACUAUUUAUGGAAGAAUGUGAGGCUUUGGAGGAGUUUUCAAGUAGAUUGUCAAAUUUGAUUGCAUUGGAGGAAUUGGAUUUUUUAAAGUAUAGAAAAUUGAAGAAAUUAUUAGAAGGAUUUGGAAGCUUGACAUAUUUGAAGAUACUAAGGAUGUGAAAAUAUGAGGCUUUGGAGGAGUUUCCAAGUAGAUUGCCAAAUUUGGUUGUAUUAGAAGAAUUGAAUUUUUUAAAAUAUAGAAAUUUGAAAAAGUUGUCCCAAGGAUUUGGAAGCUUAAAAUGUUUGAAGAUACUACAAAUGUGGGAAUGUGAGGCUUUGGAGGAGUUUUUAAGUGGAUUACCAAAUUUAGUUACAUUAAAAGAAAUCAAUUUCUUAAGAUGUAGAAAAUUGAAGAAGUUGCAAAAAGGAUUUGGAAGCUUGAUACAUUUAAAGAUAUUAAGGAUGUGGGAAUGUGAGGCUUUGGAGGAGUUUCCAAGUGGAUUGCCAAAUUUUGUUGCACUAGAAGAAUUGAAAUUUUCAAAGUGUAGAAAAUUGAAAAAGUUGCCAGAAGGAUUUAGAAGCUUGAUAUGUUUGAAGAAACUAUUUAUGGAGGAAUAAGAGACUUUGGAGGAGUUUCCAACUAGAUUUCCAAAUUUCAUUGCAUUAAAAGAAUUCAAUUUCUUCAGAUGUAGAAAGUUGAAGAAGUUGUCAGAAAGGUUUGGAAGCUUGACAUGUUUGAAGAUACUACAAAUGUGGGAAUAUGAGGCUUUGAAAGAAUUUCCAAAUGGAUUGCUAAAUUUUAUUGUAUUGGAAGAAUUGAAUUUCUUAAAGUGUAGAAAAUUGAAGAAGUUGUUAGAAGGAUUUGAAAGCUUGAUAUGUUUGAGAAAACUAAGGAUGUAAAAAUGUGAGGCUUUGAAGGAGUUUUCAAAUAGAUUUAUAAAUUUGCUGUAUUUGAAAGGUUUAGAAUUAGAAUAGUGAAUCUAAUUUUUUAUAGAAAUAUUGCAUACUUAUUAUUUGAAGAUUGUUGAAGUUUUAUAUUAGAUUUAGAGUUUUUAUCAAGUAAGGCUUCAUUAUAGAUUUAGUGAUAAGAGUGUUCAAAAUAGUUUUUAAGUAGAUUAUAUAUAAGUUUUUAAAAUUCUUUGGUUAUUGGAGAUUAAAGAAUUUGUCCAUAAAAGUUGAAUGCAUAACACAUUUGAAGAACCCAGAUAGAUAAAGAAUAAUGACUUUAAAGGAAUUUCAAAGUAGAUUUAGAGCUUUAGUUUUAUUUGAGUGAUUAAAAUUUCUUCUAAUUAAAAUCAUUGAUGAAGAUAUUGGAAGCAUAUAAAAUAGAUAUAUCAAAAUGUUAUGCUUUAGAAGCAUUUUUAAGUACAUUUACAUAUCUAAUUAUAUUAAAAGAAAUAAGAUAGAUCUUCAUAAGAUAUUUUUAUGCAAUAAUAAUUAUAUUCUAAAUCAUAUAUGAUAUGUUAUUCUUUUGCAUUAUUCCAUGCUAUAUUAGUAUGUGUUUAAAUAUAAAUUAUGUUGGUAUUUUUUCUUUUUCUUUUUCUUUCUAUGAUUUCUAUCCUAACUUAAGAUAUUGGUUUUAAAUUAAUAGUUUAAUAUCUCAUAUAUGUUGUAUUUCUAUUAUUUAGAUUCAUAACUAUUAGUUUAAAAUUUAACUAUUUUUAUCAUAUAUAUUAAAAUUUACUGAAUAAUUUGGAAUCUCAGAGAUUUUAAUACAACUAUUUAAAUUGAAAUAUAGUUUAUAAAAGUUAACUUUGGUAAAAAAUAAAUAAAUAAAAUUCAAAUAUGAUUUCUAAACUUCAUAUUUAUUACAAAGACCAUAGUCUCUUGAAUCUUAUAAUAAGUUUUUAAAAAAAUAUUCCAUAAGCAUGUAGACUUCAUUUAGACAUAUACUAAACCAAAAAAAUAAAAUGUAUAUUAGUAAGGCACAUGCAAGGUGUCUUUAGUCUAUACCAACUUGUUAUCAUUGUCAUAUUGAAAUUUUUUUCAACUACAAUGAAAUUUUGUGAGAUUUUAUAGUAUAUAUAUAUAUAUAUAUAUAUCUAUAUAUCCCUAAACUUAUUUAGAAGAUAUAGAAGUUCUAAUAGGUAUAUCUUUAAUUUCAACUAUUAUCUCCAAUUGCAGUAUAUUAUAAUACCACCAACAAUUCUAUAUAUUUCCAAAUAGAUUCAACUUAUUAAGCUUAUUUGUAGGAUUAGAGUUUUAAAAUAAACUCAAGUUAGCAAUACUCAAUGGUUACCACAAUGAAUGCAUAUUAUCCUUAUUGUACAUGCCUUUGCUAUCUUGUAUCUCUAAAAAUGAAAAAAUAUGUCAUCUCAAAAUUCUCCCUCAAAAACUUACUUUGUUUUGAGAUAUUUUUAAAAUCCAAAAGCCAAACCUCAUAUAUUUGCAAAUUUAAGGACUUGUAGACCAUUCUAAUUUCAUAUUUAGAAUUACAAACCUCAAAAAAAAUCGCAUAUAUUUUUAAGUCUUCAAAAAGAAUAUAUCAAAAUAAUCUAGUACAUCUAUGUAAUCUUAAACCUUUAAAACUUAAAUCCAAAAAACUUAGAGUUGGUAUUAUUUUCUAUUGCAAAUAACAAUAUGAAGGUCUUAGACUUUAUGGAUAACACACCAGUAAUUUUCAUGUUUGAUUAAUUCAAAUUCUUCUUCAAAUAUUUUAAAUAAAUUUGUACUUAAGUAAGUUAUUUAAAUACAAUAAACAUCUUAGCAUCUUAUAUUAAUGUGCCCACUAUUUAGGAUUUUAAGUCUAAUAUAUAGAGGUUAUUUUUUAAAAUAAUUGAUUUAUAAUAUGCAAACUAAAACUAGAGAGGCUUCAUAAAAUAUUACCAUGAAUCUAAAUAUUUUAACAUUUAAUUUAUAUUUUUUAUGUAAGAUUAAUAUUCAUCUAAUUUGGACUUUUCAACCACAAAUUUUAAUGAUAAAGUUAAAUUACAGUAAAAAUAAAUUUUAUAUUUAUCAUAGUUGAUUUAAGAAAAAAUAAAAUAGAUUAAUGUAAAAAUAUUAAAUUUUAUUGUAAUAUUAUUUUUAUUCUAUAAUUCUAAUUAUACAGAAAUACUUAAGUAAAGAUUUUAUGUUUAAUAUGUCUUAUUGAUUCAUGCUAUAGAUUCAUGGCGGCAUCAAACUUAUAGAAUUAGAUGAAUUUGAAACAAACAUAAGCCAUAACAACUUGAUAAUAAUUAGGCUAAUUGGAUACAAGAUUCCAUAUAUGGAUCUUUUAAAACAACCAUUUAGACAGUCCAGUGAUCACAUCAAUGACAACAUUAUACAUAUUGUUCUAAAUAAAAUGUUUAUAAAUCAUUGUUUUUUAUUUCAAUUAGAACACAAUAUGAUUAUACAUAUUUUAGAAGUGCAUCAAGCUAAAAUAAUAUAUGACAUAUUAAUAUUUAUUUUCUUUUAUGAUUUUCUAUCUUUUCAAAAACAAUGUAAUAUUACACACAAUAAAACUUCCCUCUUGUGUAUUUAUAUAAUCUCUAUAUCAUUUGAAUUAAUUUUUUAUUAAUUUUAAUAAUUUCAUGCUUUUAAUGAAUUUUAAAAUUUAAUUAUCAUUUCUCUUAAAAUUUUGGCAUGUUUUGUUUUGGUGAUUCAAUCAAGUAUAACUAUUGAUAAUGUAUAAACUAUAAAUUCUAAUUAACAAAUUGAAUCUAUAAUUAUUUAGCCAUACAAAUAAUGGCUAAUUGGUGUGGGUUAGCAAGUUGGAGUUGGCAAUGAAUCAAAUAUGUUUUAUUGCAAGCUAGUAAUCAACAAUUUUUAUUUAUUUGUGUUUUUAAGUGUAAGUGAAACUUCUUACUAUGAUAUGAUAGAUUAAGACUAUAUUUGUCAUGAUUGUGGUGGGUGGGAAGAUAUCUUAAUGGUAAUAACACCAAAAAGAUGCAACAUAUUAUAAAGUUUGUUUCUAAUGUAAGUGUUACUACACUUAGGAUAAUAUUCAUGUAAUUGCUUCAAACAUUGUAGAAUACGGUUAGUUUAAAAUAAAUAUUACAAUAGUUUCUAGAAUGAUCAUAAUUCUUUUUACUUUCUUAGUAUAUGUACUUUAAAUUCCACUAAAAGUUCUACAUUAUUUAAUAUUUGAUAUAUGUAUGUAUAUAUAUAUAUAUAUAUAUUUGUGCACACACAUACAUUUAUAUUGUGGGUUGAAACAUAACCUGGGAAAGAAAUGAAUGAACUGUAACCAACUGUUAAACAAUCAACCAAUUACUUGAUGCUUUGACCUCCUGAAAUAGAAGAUAAUUUCAGCAACAUCAGCCAUGCAGAGCAGAGCAUACAGAGCAACGAACUUCUACCAAGGCAGAGCAGAGCAUAUUACCGUAACAAAGUUAUUGUGUCCUAAUGACAGUCCUGACAGUGUGGGACGAUACCGAAAGCCAACUACAGUACAAAUCUUUGCAGAAGACACAAAAUUGAGUGAAAGCCGACAAAUGAUUGCUGAUGGAAAUUACAUCAGGCUGCCAACAACGAAAGGGUGGCAUUGGACAUAGAAAGGGAUCACCUCAAAUGUCAUUAGAGGCCUCAAAAUUUACACCAUCCUUUCAACAUUCCACGAGUGGAAUAGUUGUCCAAGACGAUUGCGCGGGGGAAAACAAACUAAGGAACUCCCAAAGAGCCUCCAGCUUGCAAGGACUCAGCGGGAACCAGGCAGCAGUAGCUUCAGCUGUAAUAACAUAUUAUUAGAUCACAGAAGCUACAUGCCAUUACAAGAACUUAGAAAAUAAAUUGCCUUAUGUUUUUAGGAAGGGCGACAAUCUAAACCACCUCUUCGCUUGAGCUUUAUCAUGAAUGUUGUUCUCACAGGUCAAAACCUGGUCAAAGCCAGAUAUUUCAGUAGCAUACUCAUCUCAAAACAUGAAGACGUUUCUCUAGAAUGGUCAUCCAGGAUGUUGAAUCAUGGUAAACGGCUAGAUGAAUUUCUGUAGACCAAUGAAAGAAAGGAGGAACAUGGUAUCCAAUCUCCAUGACCAAAUGGGAAGUCGGAUCGCUAGGGGGAAGAGGAUAGAGCCUGGGCAGCUGCGCGUAGCCACUCUGCGGCUGCCAUGGCGCCAGGAUCUGGAACUUUCGCAAGGACAUACUCAGGAACGUAACUCGAACGACCACUCUGCAAAACAGUAGGCAUAAACUUAGAAACUGUCGAAUGCCUGGAUACACAAACCCAUUGCAUGUUCAUGAUCUUUAUGAAAUUGGUUUAUAUCUUGAAUUCAAACUGAGAUAGGAAGUAGGUCGACACCAAAAAUAGGUUCAAUAGCUAGUCGUAAAUCACCUGUGCUAGCAUGGACUUUGUAGCUGCUGCACCUGCUACCGCAGCAUCAGCAGCAGCGUUGAAUGCCUUCAACGGAUCCUCUCCAGCAGCCAAUUUCUGCACGAAUUCGGUGUAUAUUUGUGAUGAAUUUUAACUUCCAAAAAUAAAUACACUCGUGACUCUGAUGCAAAUGUUACUAGAACACCGGGAUGAUAACCUACUUAGUUCUUUCAUAAUUCUUCUCAAAGAUCGCUCUUACCUCUUGGAGGGUGGUUGAGGCAGGCAAAAGGGCAUCCAAAAGAGUACGAUGACCAGCCGAAGCACCACCAUACUUUCCUACAGCAGCAACUGCUGCCUCAAAAGCUGCAGACCCUGCAAAAGAAUCUCAACACAAUACUCAUGAUUGUUAGUGCAACGCUAUUGUACAUUCUACGAUUACGUGCCUUUCGCUCUCUUUUGAUGAAUCCAUUCAUAACAUCAUGAGGCUAGAGUCAUAAAAGAAUUGUCCUCAACUAGCCUACUAUGUCAAAAUGAAAGAACGUCACAAGUAGAUCUAGAAAAAAGAAAAGAAACAAAAAACAAAAAACAAAAAAACACUUUGAGGAACUGAUUGAUACAUCCAGGAUGCAAAAGUACAAAAUUGUUGCAGGCCUGUCAUUUGUAAGCAUAACGACAAGCUCACAUUUCUUAGCCGUGACUGGGUUUCCAACAUUCUUCAGAAUAACAAAUGCUGCUCUGGUAAAUAUGUCGUAUCUGAACCCAAAAUGUUCACAUUACAAUCACGAACGGUGAAGAAAGAGGCAUCCUUAGCACUAUUUGCUCCACAGCAAGAAAACUUUGAAGCCUCAACAGUUGGUUAAGUCAUGACAGCCAGUAUAUCAUGUGGAAGAAAGAAAUGGCACAGAUAACUUACAGUAUUCCACUUGUGCCACCUGUUACUCUUCUUAUUGAAGAGCCUAACUCAUGUACGGUGGCGGCAGCAUCGUUCAAAGGAUAGCUGAGAUUUGAAGAAUAAAAUUAUAAACAAGAAGUUCCCCGGGGUGAGAGCAAUGAAGAGCGAGCUUCUAUAUAGGACGUAGAAACAGAAUGUGUAGAACUCUUGAUAAUUAAGAAACCCUCAAUGUAUUAGACCAUAAAAACACCACUAAAAAUUAAAAGCUAAAACUUCUAGCCAAAGAAACAACAAAUAUACUACCUUGAGCUUGUCAAUGAAGAAACAAUGUAAUUUGAUAGUCAUCCACAACACAUAACAAAGACAGCAUGGCACAAGUCACUUACUGACUAUCUAGGUCUUGAAGCACAGCUUUUGCUGCUUUGGCCAUCUACAAGAAAUGGUUGGUUGCUUCUAGUUAGUCAAUCAAAAAUGUACAAGACUGAUUUUUAAAACAAAUACAUAUUGUACAUCAUGAGCAUGAAAAGUUUUAAAUUUAAAAUUGAAAUUCACACAUGAAGACGCUCUAUGGUCACCUGCCCAACGUGCACAAAAUAGAUAAUAGAGCAGCAUUUCAAAUAGUAAAGACAUUUUCCCAGAAAAGGACGAACAGUUGGAGAUAAGUUUAUACAGAGCAAGUGUGAAAAUCUCACCGUUGUUCCACAAUCUCCAUCACCAACUACUCCAUCCCAUUCAUUCAAGGACUCUUUGAGGCCAAGGACUGCUGUGGCACCAGCUCUGAUUGCGGCCUCCAAUUUCUGACCUUGCGCGCUUAAUUCUUGUGGGCGGACUGGAUCCUGUUCAAGACAUACACUUGAACAACUUUGUCAUUACUUUCCAACCUGAGUAAGAUGAAUGCCAAUAGACUAUUAAAUCUCACUAGCUUAGAAAGAAAGGGCAACGUUUACCAGUAUGCCCCGAUAUGCCCCGAUACAGGACGUCAUGCUUAAAUUGCGUACAGAUAGAACCGAUUAAAAUGGUCAACACAUCCCUCGAACAUCCGAUACAUCAAUGACUUCUAGGCUAUCAUAAGGUGACAAUGAAUCAUUACUAGAUGACACGAUCACCUCCUACUGCAGGUCUUACAUUACAAUAAACCAGUUAGGAUAAGCACAAUAAUCUUCAUUUUACUAUCAUGUGCUAAGAAAAAGCCGCAAGACAAUCUACAAAAUCAAAGUUCGACAAAGUCGUAUGUCCAGUAACUCAAAAAUUGGACAAUUAAUCAGCUAAGACCCUUCACAUUUAUCAAUGGUAUUGAACUUCAGUUUCUAAACGAAUUCUGCUGCGCAAGAAGAAAAAAUAGGUCUCCUUAGAAAAAUAAAUCAGGAAUCAAAUAAAAACAGUAAAGAAAAAAUAAACGUAUAGAUAAAAUUCAAGAAGGGUACAGAAGCCAUAAACUUUAUACACAUAGCUUCAGAAGAUGAGAUUCUUGUGCACAUGACCCUCAAGAACUAAACUCAGCUAUAAUGAAACUGCCAAAAGUUAACAUAAGGUUCUGUGAGCUAAGUACCGGAUUGAGGUUUGCUGGUGCAGGUGGAAGGGCGACGGGUAAGGUUGUCGAUGGGCGAGGCCCUAAAAAUACCAUCAAAAAACAUAAAAGGAUAAGUCCAAUUUGUACCUUACGUUAUCUAAUGUCAUUAAUAGAAACCUUGGAAUGACGAGGAAUGAAAUGGCUAAAAGAAUUGUAUUAUGCACUCGCUAUCCCUAAACUGAGAAUCUGAGAUCCUCUGGUGGAAGACCCCUUUUUGAUAAAUGGGAAAAAUCCACCUUAUGACGAUUUGAAUACAUCUGUGAGAAAAUUUUCAUUUUAUAUCUAUCAGGAUAACUUAAUACUUGAGAGAAGCCAUUCAUAAUUAUGAGUCGUCCAUAACUGCAUUUUUUACACACUACGAGGUUGAUAAAGUGACAGUCGGUUUCUGCUCUAUACCAGCAACUCCAACAGGCCACGCUGGCGCCUGAGUUGCAGAGUCGAGUGCAUCCAAGAUGGAGUCGUCCACCUUCAGUACAGAGAGCGACAUUCCUGUAUACCCAACUCAAAACAAGCUCUUUAGUGAGAAUCUUCGCAAUAACAUUCCAGAGAGUUUCUGGAAAGGGUGAACAAUUGGCCUCAGCGUAACUACAAGACAGAGUGAUUGCGCCAGUGUCUGGUCUGGAAUAUAUACUAAAACUCAAUUGUUUCCAGCUAACCACUUCGCAGAAAAAACUUUAAAAUGGGCAACUCCUGAAGUGACACAAUUACCUGCCAUAUCAAGUGAUGUCAUAAAGGAGCCCGUGUAAACACGUUCCACUGCUAAGCCAUGCUCUAUUUGCAGUUGUGCAACAGCUUUCCCCGCAGCGAUCAUUAACUCCAUCAUAGGUGUUGCUCCAAGACUAAACAAAGAAAUUUUAUUUAGUUCUUCUAGUUGGCAAACUCCAGCAAAGCGGGAAGAAAUGGCUCAAUGCUAACGCAGUCAGAUACUCGGGUCAAGAAUAGGAUAUAAUUAGCAGACAUACAAAUCAAAGCCAAAGAAUAGCACAAGCGCUGGAAGAGGAAGAAUAGAAUCCAAAAUAAAUGUAUGCUACUUAAGCAUUUGAACAAGUACCUAUUCACCAUAAGUACAACUUGACUCCCUGGAGUAAUAGGUACAUAGUUUGUCUCCUGCAAACAACGAAUGGCCCACUUAAUAAGCAAGGAUAGCACAUACCUGCUGUCACUGACAGCAACAAACAUAAAAUAACGUAGCCUUUGUCACCACAUGAUAUGAAAACCACCAAUAUUAAGCUAUACAUGGAGUGACUGUUCCAGCUUUCCAAUCACAAACUUUGUAAUAAUGUAACAGAAACUCCAAAAUAAGAAACCAAUAAAUAAUACAAGCAUAGUCAUACUCUUACAACGGCAAUAAAAGGAAUAAACUAAUACAGCUUGAAACUAAUAUAGCUGAUGGGAGAUUGACUAGUAUGAGAGGAUUUUCAAAAGACUCGGUCUGAGAACCUCCUCACCAGGCUACAUUGAGACAAAACAAUGGCGUACCUGAGAUAAAAUUUGCUUCAAAAUGUGAGCCACAACGACGUCUACAGGCUGCAAAUCAGCUACCAUAGCUCCUGGUUCGCCAUGCUGCAAACGUAAAUGUGACCUUUUACAGAGAUUAGUUUUCAAAAUGACAUACCAAAGAAAGUGCACAGGUGGAAAGCGGUUAAACCGCACCAGCGUAGCUGAUUUCCAUGCCGUAUGUUUUCCACAUGACCGUAGCCAAGAUAGUGACUGGAACUAAUGAAUCUACUUAUCAUCUGCCAUCAUGAUUAUAACAGCUAUGCAAGUGGAGCACAAAUCAAAAAGAGCACACCAAU
rnacentral:lncRNA from 1 species